UGUGCUGAGCUGGGUGGAAGUGGGGAGGAGGAAGCAAGGACAGUGGAGCGGCGCCGCUGAUGGCGCCCCUCGGGGAGAGCGGGCACGGAUGCGGGGACAGGGACGCCGCCGCGCGGGCAAGGCCCUCGCGGGGAUGAAGGGGAAGCGUUCUCAGACCGCCUGGAGAAAAACGGGAACUGUUACUGCGCUGGGGCCUGGACGUGCCCCGCCGCCGCAGUUUCUGGUGGCAAAACACAGAAAACAAAGGAAUGAUUAAAUGAACUGCGGUGCCUUCGCGCCCUGUAUUAAUGUUCAGCCAUUAGAAGAGUGAAUCCCAGCUGGGACUUGGGGUUUCCACGAUGCGCUAGAAAAGCAAGACAAAGAGGCGCCUACUAGAUGAUGCCAUUUUGGAAAACAAAAGCAAACCCCGUGUGCGUGAGUGUGAGUGCGCGCGGGCGCGCGCGCGCCACACACAGAUGUGACGUGGGCACGGAGAAAUCACGGAAGCUCUGCUACAAAGCGGCGAGGACGAGGCCACUGGGGCGCCGCAGAGGCCCUUCCUGCGGCCGCGCUGUCCUGGGGGAGCGCCCCCGGCGUGGGGUCUCUGCGCCCUUUGUUAGUGAGGAGGGUGAGACCCGGCCGGGCGUGGGAGGCGGGGACCCGGCGGGGGCCCUCGCUCCUGCUUCCUGCCGCCGCCGCCCCAGCCAGAGACGCCUCGCCGGGAGGGAGCGCCGGGACCCCGCGGGCAUAGGACCCGGGUCGUCUGUCCCCUCGCUCCCGGUCGCCCACGUGGCCGCCCACUCCCCAUUUCUCGCGCAGCCAUUUGCUUCCCACCCCUUGUUUUUCUCUUUUCUUUUCCCCUCCCCUCAGCCUCCGGUAACCUCUGAUCUACUUUCUGUCUGUGAAUUUGCUUAUUCCAGAUAUUUUGUGUAAGCGGAAUCCUGUAAUCGUCCUUUUGUGUCAGGCUUAUUUUGCUUAGCAUAAUGUUUUCAAGGUUCAUCCAUGUUGUAGCACGUUUGAGAACUUCCUCCCUUUUUUGUAUUGUGAUAAAAUGUACAUAAAAUUUAUCGUUUUAACCAA